AUAUCAAUAAGCGGAGGAAAAGAAACCAACAGGGAUUGCCCCAGUAACGGCGAGUGAAGCGGCAACAGCUCAAAUUUGAAAUCUGGCCCCCUCGGGGUCCGAGUUGUAAUUUGCAGAGGACGCUUCGGCGUUGGCCCCGGUCUAAGUCCCUUGGAACAGGGCGUCACAGAGGGUGAGAAUCCCGUACGUGGCCGGUGGCCCUCGCCAUGUGAAGCUCCUUCGACGAGUCGAGUUGUUUGGGAAUGCAGCUCUAAAUGGGAGGUAAAUUUCUUCUAAAGCUAAAUACCGGCCAGAGACCGAUAGCGCACAAGUAGAGUGAUCGAAAGAUGAAAAGCACUUUGGAAAGAGAGUCAAAAAGUACGUGAAAUUGUUGAAAGGGAAGCGCUCGCAACCAGACCCGCCCGCGGUCGCUCAUCCAGGCUCCCGCCUGGUGCACUCUUCCGCGGUCGGGCCAGCAUCGGUUUGGGCGGUCGGACAAAGGCGGUGGGAAUGUGGCUCCCCUCGGGGAGUGUUAUAGCCCGCCGCGCAAUGCGGCCAGCCCGGACCGAGGUCCGCGCUCCGGCUAGGAUGCUGGCUUAAUGGUUGUGAGCGGCCCGUCUUGAAACACGGACCAAGGAGUGUAACAUCUGUGCGAGUGUUUGGGUGUCAAGCCCGGGCGCGCAAUGAAAGUGAACGGAGGCGGGAACCCUCCGGGGCGCACCGUCGACCGAUCCUGAUGUCUUCGGAUGGAUUUGAGUAAGAGCACAGCUGUUGCGACCCGAAAGAUGGUGAUCUAUGCCUGAAUAGGGUGAAGCCAGAGGAAACUCUGGUGGAGGCUCGCAGCGGUUCUGACGUGCAAAUCGAUCGUCAAAUUUGGGCAUAGGGGCGAAAGACUAAUCGAACCGUCUAGUAGCUGGUUCCUGCCGAAGUUUCCCUCAGGAUAGCAGUAACGCGUUCAGUUUUAUGAGGUAGAGCGAAUGAUUAGAGGCCUGGGGGUUGAAACAACCUUCACCUAUUCUCAAACUUCGAAUAUGUAAGAAGUCCUUGUUACUUGGUUGAACGUGGACAUUUGAAUGCACCGUUACUAGUGGGCCAUUUUUGGUAAGCAGAACUGGCGAUGCGGGAUGAACCGAACGCGGGGUUAAGGUGCCGGAAUGCACGCUCAUCAGACACCACAAAAGGUGUUAGUUCAUCUAGACAGCAGGACGGUGGCCAUGGAAGUCGGAAUCCGCUAAGGAGUGUGUAACAACUCACCUGCCGAAUGAACUAGCCCUGAAAAUGGAUGGCGCUCAAGCGUGCUACCCAUACCCCGCCGCCGGGGCAGGAGUUACGCCCCGGCGAGUAGGCAGGCGCGGAGGCCCGUGACGAAGCCUCGGGGGUGACCCCGGGUCGAAC
rnacentral:rRNA from 2 species